AGGUCAUGGUGUGGGCAAUUUCUAAGAAGACCUUUGUAUCUUUCCCAAGCUUCAUAAAGUGACUCCCCGAGUUGUUGCUCGAAGUUGGCGAUAGCUUUCUUCAACUU